rnacentral:tRNA from 1 species
GCAUCCAUAGUUUAAAUGGGAAAACUACAGUCUUCCAAACUGAAGUUGAGGGUUCGAUUCCCUCUGGAUGCU